GACAUCCCCUACACAUUCCACCCCCUGUGAACAAACUCAUUGGUGGAACAUGAAGGUGGACCCUGGGACCCAGACCUUGAGCUGUGUAAAGGACCCCCAAAAAAUGCAGCUGCUUCCCGUUCUCCCAGAAUAUUGAUUUUUGUGACCACAGUUACAAACCGCCUCCAGAGAGCCUGUUCUGCACCAGACCAGUGGAGCCAGACUGCAG
rnacentral:lncRNA from 1 species